UACGUAGGGCGCAAGCGUUAUCCGGAAUUAUUGGGCGUAAAGAGCUCGUAGGCGGUUUGUCGCGUCUGCCGUGAAAGUCCGGGCUCAACUCCGGAUCUGCGGUGGUACGGCAGACUAGAGUGAUGUAGGGGAGACUGGAAUUCCUGGUGUAGGCGGUGAAAUGCGCAGAUAUCAGGAGGAACACCGAUGGCGAAGGCAGGUCUCUGGGCAUUAACUGACGCUGAGGAGCGAAAGCAUGGGGAGCGAACAGG
rnacentral:rRNA from 1 species